GACGAACGCUGGCGGCGUGCUUAACACAUGCAAGUCGAACGGAAAGGCCCUGCUUUUGUGGGGUGCUCGAGUGGCGAACGGGUGAGUAACACGUGAGUAACCUGCCCUUGACUUUGGGAUAACUUCAGGAAACUGGGGCUAAUACCGGAUAGGAGCUCCUGCUGCAUGGUGGGGGUUGGAAAGUUUCGGCGGUUGGGGAUGGACUCGCGGCUUAUCAGCUUGUUGGUGGGGUAGUGGCUUACCAAGGCUUUGACGGGUAGCCGGCCUGGGAGGGUGAACGGCCACCAUGGGACUGAGAUACGGCCCAGACGCCUACGGGGGGCAGCAGUGGGGAAUAUUGCACAAUGGGCGGAAGCCUGAUGCAGCAACGCCGCGUGCGGGAUGAAGGCCUUCGGGGUGUAAACCGCUUUCGCCUGUGACGAAGCGGUAGUGACGGUAAUGGGUAAAGAAGCACCGGCUAACUACGUG
rnacentral:rRNA from 1 species